UGCCCUCCCACCUGUCUGUUUCAUGUCUCAGGUAGCCUGUCUGCCCUCCCACCUGUCUGUUUCAUGUCUCAGGUAGCCUGUCUGCCCUCCCACCUGUCUGUUUCAUGUCUCAGGUAGCCUGUCUGCCCUCCCACCUAUCUGUUUCAUGUCUCAGGUAGCCUGUCUGCCCUCCCACCUGUCUGUUUCAUGUCUCAGGUAGCCUGUCUGCCCUCCCACCUGUCUGUUUCAUGUCUCAGGUAGCCUGUCUGCCCUCCCACCUGUCUGUUUCAUGUCUCAGGUAGCCUGUCUGCCCUCCCACCUAUCUGUUUCAUGUCUCAGGUAGCCUGUCUGCCCUCCCACCUAUCUGUUUCAUGUCUCAGGUAGCCUGUCUGCCCUCCCACCUAUCUGUUUCAUGUCUCAGGUAGCCUGUCUGCCCUCCCACCUAUCUGUUUCAUGUCUCAGGUAGCCUGUCUGCCCUCCCACCUAUCUGUUUCAUGUCUCAGGUAGCCUGUCUGCCCUCCCACCUAUCUGUUUCAUGUCUCAGGUAGCCUGUCUGCCCUCCCACCUAUCUGUUUCAUGUCUCAGGUAGCCUGUCUGCCCUCCCACCUAUCUGUUUCAUGUCUCAGGUAGCCUGUCUGCCCUCCCACCUAUCUGUUUCAUGUCUCAGGUAGCCUGUCUGCCCUCCCACCUAUCUGUUUCAUGUCUCAGGUAGCCUGUCUG